UACGGAGGGUGCGAGCGUUGUCCGGAAUCACUGGGCGUAAAGGGCGCGUAGGCGGCCUGGCAAGUGGAAGGUGAAAUCCCUCGGCUUAACCGAGGAACUGCCUCCCAAACUGCUUGGCUUGAGACCGGGAGAGGUGAGUGGAAUUCCCAGUGUAGCGGUGAAAUGCGUAGAUAUUGGGAGGAACACCAGUGGCGAAGGCGGCUCACUGGACCGGUACUGACGCUGAUGCGCGAAAGCGCGGGGAGCAAACGGG
rnacentral:rRNA from 1 species